rnacentral:rRNA from 1 species
GUAAACCGGAGGAAGGUGGGGAUGACGUCAAGUCCUCAUGGCCCUUAUGGUAGGGCUUCACACGUAAUACAAUGGUCGGUACAGAGGGUUGCCAACCCGCGAGGGGGAGCCAAUCCCAGAAACCGAUCGUAGUCCGGAUUGUAGUCUGCAACUCGACUGCAUGAAGUCGGAAUCGCUAGUAAUCGCGGAUCAGCAUGUCGCGGUGAAUACGUUCCCGGGCCUU